rnacentral:rRNA from 1 species
UCCUACGGGACGCAGCAGUGAGGAAUAUUGGUCAAUGGGCGGGAGCCUGAACCAGCCAAGCCGCGUGAGGGAAGAAGGUACAGCGUAUCGUAAACCUCUUUUGUCAGGGAACAAAGGCGGGGACUAGUCCCCGGAUGAGGGUACCUGAAGAAAAAGCAUCGGCUAACUCCGUGCCAGCAGCCGCGGUAAUACGGAGGAUGCGAGCGUUAUCCGGAUUUAUUGGGCGUAAAGGGAACGCAGGCGGUCUUUUAAGUCUGAUGUGAAAGCCUUCGGCUUAACCGGAGGAGUGCAUUGGAAACUGGGAG